GGCGGCGUGCUUAACACAUGCAAGUCGAGCGGUAAGGCCCUUCGGGGUACACGAGCGGCGAACGGGUGAGUAACACGUGAGCAACCUGCCCCUGACUCCGGGAUAAGCGGUGGAAACGCCGUCUAAUACCGGAUACGACCCGCCACCUCAUGGUGGAGGGUGGAAAGUUUUUCGGUCAGGGAUGGGCUCGCGGCCUAUCAGCUUGUUGGUGGGGUAACGGCCUACCAAGGCGAUUACGGGUAGCCGGCCUGAGAGGGCGACCGGCCACACUGGGACUGAGACACGGCCCAGACUCCUGCGGGAGGCAGCAGUGGGGAAUAUUGCGCAAUGGGCGAAAGCCUGACGCAGCGACGCCGCGUGGGGGAUGACGGCCUUCGGGUUGUAAACCUCUUUUACCACCAACGCAGGCCCGGAGUUCUCUUCGGGUUGACGGUAGGUGGGGAAUAAGGACCGGCUAACUACGUGCCAGCAGCCGCGGUAAUACGUAGGGUCCGAGCGUUGUCCGGAAUUAUUGGGCGUAAAGAGCUCGUAGGCGGCGUGUCGCGUCUGCUGUGAAAGACCGGGGCUUAACUCCGGUUCUGCAGUGGAUACGGGCAUGCUAGAGGUAGGUAGGGGAGACUGGAAUUCCUGGUGUAGCGGUGAAAUGCGCAGAUAUCAGGAGGAACACCGGUGGCGAAGGCGGGUCUCUGGGCCUUACCUGACGC
rnacentral:rRNA from 1 species